UGUAAAUGCAACAUGAAGAAAAAGAAUACCAACUCACUUCUCUGUGGCCUGCUUGGAGGUACUUCUGUAUCUGUCAGUGACUCUGCCUCUGAAAUAACAUACUGCAUCUUCCUCACUCAGGAACACUUAAUCCAGUCACAAAUUUCAUUAGAUCUGAUUAUCACAGCUUCUCACCAGGACAUCUGGAAUGCUGUAACUGUUGAAAUUAUGUUUGUAAAAUUUGUAAAUAUUAUUUAUUAAUGUUACUGUGUUAAUAAAACAAUAUGUUGCAAUA